UAAAAUAUUAAAAUAUAAACUAGAGGCUCUAAAGAGCCUGUGUCGCUCACCUUGGUCUAUGUGAAUAUUAAACAAUGGACACAGGUGGAUUCAUGACAAAAUUGUGUUUUGGUGAUGGUGAUGUGUUUGUAGAUCUUACUUUACUAAACAUUCUUGCUGCUUACAAUUAUCUCUAUCUAUAACAGUACUUUCUGUGGAAAAUGUUAUUUGAAAAAUCUUCAAAUUUUAAGAAAAUUGUUAAAAAUUGACUAUGAAGGGCAAUAACUCCUUAAGGGGGUCAAUUGACUAUUUUGGUCAUACUGACUUAUUUUUAGUUCUU
rnacentral:lncRNA from 1 species